CCCUUAGACGUCCUGGGCCGCACGCGCGUUACACUGAUGCAUUCAACGAGCUUAUAACCUUGGCCGAGAGGCCUGGGCAAUCUUGUUAACGUGCAUCGUGAUAGGGAUAGAUUAUUGAAAUUAUUAAUCUUGAACGAGGAAUUCCUAGUAAACGCAGAUCAUCAAUCUGCAUUGAUUACGUCCCUGCCCUUUGUACACACCGCCCGUCGCACCUACCGAUUGGAUGGUCCGGUGAAGCCUCGGGAUUGUGGUUCUUGCCGCUUUAUUGUAGCGUGACCGCGAGAACUUGUCUAAACCUUAUCAUCUAGAGGAAGGUGAAGUCGUAACA
rnacentral:rRNA from 1 species